rnacentral:lncRNA from 1 species
CACAAUACCUUUACUUAUUUAUUUUUAUGUGGUGCUGAGGAUCGAACCCAGGGCCUCGCACGUGCUAGGCAAGUGCUCUACCGCUGAGCCACAAUCCUAGCCCUAUACUGAUAUAUUUCUAUAAGCUUCAAUAAGGAUACUUUGAUAAUAAAUUGAAAACCAAAAUCAGAAAAUAAAACAAAUGUUCUAAAUUUAGGAUUAAGGAAUAUAAAACUGAGAUUAUUAUUGUUUCCUGGUUUUCACAUCUUCCUUUUCCAUACAUUUGUAUAAUUCUUUUGGGGGUGGGUACCAGGGAUUGAACCACUGAGCCACAUCCCCAGCCCUUCUUUAUAUUUUAUUUAGAUAUAGGGUCUUACUAAGUUGCUUAGAGCCUCACUAAAUUGCUGGGGUUGACUUUGAACUUUAGAUCCUCCUGUUUCAGCUUCCUGGGCUGCUGAGACUACAGGCAUGCACCACUGCAGCUGGCUGCAUAAUUCUUUAGUUUACCAAGCACUUCUCAUAUAGUACUUGGUAUGAUUUCCCUUUCAGCUCUGAAGUAUGCAUGAGAUAGGUGGGCUCUUGGAGAGACUGACUAGACCUUGGUAAUGGAGACCCAGAUCUUCAAGCAUAAUUAACCAUGCUUGUCUCUUUCACUAGAUGAAUAAAAGCUCCAGUGUAUAUCUGUAUCAGAUCAAGUAGGACAAAAACACAAAUGUCACCAGAUUCAAACACAAUGUACCCACAACUGAUUUAUAGUUAGAUUGUUUAACCAAAAGGAACCACUCUGAACUCCAAAUAAUAAAUGGUUGACAUGAGAUCUGACUUUCACAAAAGCUUGCCUGAGAACCUGUACAUUUCUUCCCAGGAAAAUUAUAUAUAUUGUCAAGAGCUCAACCCUGGGCAGAUGACUUGUCUCAAGAGGUAUGAGGCACCUGUGCCCUGCUUUUAGAGUGUGAUACCUCUGCUCUCCUUUAAUAAAUUUUUGCUUGUGCCUUGCUUUUGAUACAUCCUGAAAUUCUUUUCAGCAGCUGUCAGGAACCUGUCUCGGUUGAAUCGAGGUCCCACUGCCUCCUCGAAGGGACCUCCUCAGACUCCUGUCAGUGACAAUCAAAGGCAAUGGCAUUAAACUCCAUUGUAUCUAUCAGGAAAAUAAGGCACAGGAUGAUCAAGUGUCCUGGGCACGGUCAUUUAAUGGAUUAGUUAAGUCCAGCAGCCCAGUUCUAGAUUGCAUGUUGAAUUUAUUUCCUAUUGCUAUAAUAGCAUUUAAUACAAAUUAUUUUAAAAAUACAUAAUAAUGCACAGUUCUGUAGAUCAGAAGUUCAACCCCAGUCCCAUCAACACUUUCCUUCUGGAGGGAUGGAUUCAUUUCCUGGCAGGCCUAUGCAAGUUGGCAGAGUCCAAUUCCAUGUGGCUAAAGGACUGACCUUCCACAUUACCUAACUCAUGAUCCCUUUGAAGAGAAGGGUCUCUUCUUGGGAGACCCUUGGGACUCCUGGCUUCCUCUUCUACUUUCGAUGGCUCAUAUGAUUACAUUGCCCAUUGGAUAAUUUACCUGGCUAAUCACCCUAUUUUAAGGUUAGCUGAUUAAUGAACUUAUUUAAAUCUGAAAAGUCCCUCACAACAGUACCUACAUUGGUAUUGGGUUGAAUUACCAGGGGACUAUGAUGCUGGGGGAGGGGAGGCAUUUUUAGAAUUUUUGCCUACCAUGUAUAUUUUAGAAGUUUAGUUCAUGUUGUUAUUUUUUUCUUCAUUUCUCUGAAGGAUGUGUGUGUAUGG